ACGGGUAGGCGAGUGGCGGACGGGUGAGGAAUACAUACGGAAUCUACUCUUUCGUGGGGGAUAACGUAGGGAAACUUACGCAUAAUACCGCAUACGCCCUUCAGGGGGAAAGCAGGGGAUCGCAAGACCAUUGCGCGAUUGAAUGAGCCGAUGUAGGAUAAGCAUAGUUGGCGGGGUAACGGCCCACACAAGGCGACGAUCCGUAGCUGGUCUGAGAGGAUGAUAAGCCACACUGGAACUGAGACCACGGUAAGACUCCUACCGGGAGGCAGCAGUGGGGAAUAUAGGACCAUGGGCGCAAGCAU
rnacentral:rRNA from 1 species